rnacentral:rRNA from 1 species
AGGGGUUUGAUCAUGGCUCAGAACGAACGCUGGCGGCGUGCUUAAGACAUGCAAGUCGAACGGUAAGGCCGACUACCUUCGGGUAGUUGGUACACGAGUGGCGCACGGGUGAGUAACGCGUGGGUAAUCUGCCUUCGGGUUUGGGACAACUCCGGGAAACUGGAGCUAAUACCGAAUAAGACCACGAGGUCUCCGGACCUUGCGGAAAAAGGUGGCCUCUUCUUGAAAGCUAUCGCCUGUAGAUGAGCCCGCGUCCCAUUAGCUUGUUGGUGAGGUAACGGCUCACCAAGGCAUCGAUGGGUAGCUGGUCUGAGAGGAUGAUCAGCCACACUGGAACUGAGACACGGUCCAGACUCCUACGGGAGGCAGCAGUCGGGAAUCUUGCACAAUGGGCGAAAGCCUGAUGCAGCAACGCCGCGUGAGGGAUGAAGGCCCUCGGGUCGUAAACCUCUAUCGGAAGGGAAGAAAGUAUUCCGGGCCAAUACCCCGGAGUAUCGACGGUACCUUCAAAGGAAGCGCCGGCUAACUCCGUGCCAGCAGCCGCGGUAAUACGGAGGGCGCGAGCGUUAUUCGGAAUCAUUGGGCGUAAAGCGCGUGUAGGCGGCUGGGCAAGUCGGAUGUGAAAGCCCGGGGCUCAACCCCGGAAUUGCAUUCGAAACUGCUCAGCUAGAGUCUCGGAGAGGAGGGCGGAAUUCCCGGUGUAGAGGUGAAAUUCGUAGAUAUCGGGAGGAACACCAGUGGCGAAGCGGCCCUCUGG